rnacentral:rRNA from 1 species
UUCCGGUUGAUCCUGCCGGACCUGACUGCUAUCGGAUUGAUACUAAGCCAUGCUAGUCUUUGUAGUAAUACAAGGCAUACGGCUCAGUAACGCGUAGUCAACCUACCCUAUGGACGGGGAUAAUCUCGGGAAACUGAGCAUAAUACCCGACAGACCACUUCUCCUGGAAUGGUUAGUGGUUAAAAUGAUUCGUCGCCAUAGGAUGGGACUGCGGCCUAUCAGCUUGUUGGUGAGGUAAUGGCCCACCAAGGCGAUUACAGGUACGGGCUCUGAGAGGAGAGGCCCGGAGAUGGGUACUGAGACAAGGACCCAGGCCCUAUGGGGCGCAGCAGGCGAGAAAACUUUGCAAUGUGCGAAAGCACGACAAGGUUAAUCCGAGUGAUUUCUGCUAAAGAAAUCUUUUGCAAGUCAUAAAACCACUAGUGAAUAAGGGGUGGGCAAGUUCUGGUGUCAGCCGCCGCGGUAAAACCAGCACCUCAAGUGGUCAGGAUGAUUAUUGGGCCUAAAGCAUCCGUAGCCGGCUCUGUAAGUUUUCGGUUAAAUCUAUGCGCUCAACGUAUGGGCUGCCGAAAAUACUGCAGAGAUAGGGAGUGGGAGAGGUAGACGGUACUCGGUAGGAAGGGGUAAAAUCCUUUGAUCUAUCGAUGACCACCUGUGGCGAAGGCGGUCUACCAGAACACGUUCGACGGUGAGGGAUGAAAGCUGGGGGAGCAAACCGGAUUAGAUACCCGGGUAGUCCCAGCUGUAAACGAUGCAGACUCGAUGAUGCAUUGGCAUAUAGCCAGUGCAGUGUCGCAGGGAAGCCGUUAAGUCUGCCGCCUGGGAAGUACGUACGCAAGUAUGAAACUUAAAGGAAUUGGCGGGGGAGCACCACAAGGGGUGAAGCCUGCGGUUCAAUUGGAUUCAACGCCGGG